rnacentral:rRNA from 1 species
AGCGAACGCUGGCGGCAGGCUUAACACAUGCAAGUCGAGCGGGCAUCCUUGUGGUGUCAGCGGCAGACGGGUGAGUAACGCGUGGGAACGUGCCCUUCGGUUCGGAAUAACUCAGGGAAACUUGAGCUAAUACCGGAUACGCCCUUUUGGGGAAAGGUUUACUGCCGAAGGAUCGGCCCGCGUCUGAUUAGCUAGUUGGUGAGGUUAUGGCUCACCAAGGCGACGAUCAGUAGCUGGUCUGAGAGGAUGAUCAGCCACACUGGGACUGAGACACGGCCCAGACUCCUACGGGAGGCAGCAGUGGGGAAUAUUGGACAAUGGGGGCAACCCUGAUCCAGCCAUGCCGCGUGAGUGAUGACGGCCUUAGGGUUGUAAAGCUCUUUUCUCCGGGACGAUAAUGACGGUACCGGAGGAAUAAGCCCCGGCUAACCUCGUG